CGAGGGCGCGGACGGGCGGUAUCACUUACGGGUUUUGGGGGUCGUGCUGGCCUCCGGCGUGGUGGUGGUCGACUCCUGGAAGGGAGACAAGGUCCAGGACGGCGCCGAGUCGUGGACGUAGAUCUUGUAGGAGGAGAAUCUUGAGAAAUAUUUAGAAGAUACAAUUAUGGCCAAGGUAGAUGGGAACCAAAACCAACCAGAAAAACAAGGGGGAAAAAAAAAAAGGAACAUAUUUUUAAUAUGAGAGCAGGAGAAAUUGCAAUCUCCCAUUCUUCUGAAGCUACGAAGGAAGGAAUGGAGUAUUCUAUUCCCAUAUGUGGCCUCAUACCUGUGCUUCUUUUGAAUGAAAGAGGAAAGGAACAUCUGAAUUACUGUAACUGCAAACUCAUAUUCCAACCUUAUGGAUAUCAAGAAGAAGGAAGCUUUCCAAUGAUACUUACAUGGAAUUCAACUUAAGUCACAGAAGAGUAGUUUUGACUAUCACACAUUCAGAACAGCCAAAUAAUUUAUCACAGCAAAGUGUAAAGUGAAAUUGAUACUACAAAUAAAAGGCACACAGAUAUGAGAGACAUCUUUGUCUAUACUUAGAAUGAAAUGUUUUUAGAAGGUAAAUAUAGCAUAUCUAUACCAACCAGGUCCAUUUCUUUCUCUCACAUAUAGUAUUUUCUGAACCACAAAGAUUUUGUUGCCAGCCUAAAGCAGAACUGUGUCAUAAGAGAAAGGCAACUUUUAAUGGUCAGUUUUAUGCAAUUUACUGGUGUAUGAAUUUUAAAUAAAGCAAAGUGAGAAAAUAUCAGCAUAGCUCAGUGCUACAGAGUGUGUGAACAGAUUUGUGGCUGUACUUUUGACUGCAUCAUUAUUUUCCAGGUAUAUCAGCAGCAUCAGUGCAAGAGAUUUCAGAUUGACUUCACAAGCCUAUGUAUUUUCCAAGUCCGAUAAGUAAGGUUGCAAGCUCCCAAGGAAAGCCCUUUGAACUCCUAACAUGUUCUGGUCUCCUCUAUCUUCUCAUGUUGUUAGCACUUUAAUCAUGACCUAGCAAGAUUAUAUAAUAACAACUAGCAAAGCAGCUCCCUGUUUUUCUGUUUAUAAAGCCUCUUGUAAAGAUACCCAUAUCCUUUUAAGUUAGCUGCCUGUAUGGAUCAAUACUGCUAUAGAGGCACACAGGUCAGCAGAGCUGGAAAACCUCCCUGAAAGGCUCCAUGAAUUUUCAGCUGGCAGCCUGUGGUGAGCUCCUGCAGGAGCUGGCUAACCAGUUAAGGUCUGGCUGCUGAGUAGACAUGCCCUGUGCCAUUAUAGACAGGACAGCAGUGCCAAGAACAUUCACAUGGUAAAUGCAAUAGUGGAACUUUAUAAAUAAACUAAAGGUGCUGUGAUUCUGUGAUCCUUAUAAAGAGCCAGAAGUUUCCACAUUCCAAUAAAAAUUAAAAGAAGCUGGGUAGCUAAUGCUCCUCAAAAUCCUAUUUCUGAAUUUUGUACAGAAUGAUUAAGCAGCUUAAAGAUGUGAGAGCAACUUAAACUUUCAGGACAACUGGGAAAAUUUCUACAUAGUCUCACCUCUGUCAGCAGGGUUGUUGUGUGCCAAUAAGAAGAAAAAAGUAAGGAUGGCUUUGUAUUGACUAUUGUUACCACUUAACUAGAAUCCCUUCCCUCUCCUUAAAAAAAAAAUUCUGGACAUAAUUAUGUCUACUGUUGUGUACUGCCUCUUUACUGAGCUCUCCUGGACUUUACCAAGGUACAGUUCAAUUUGAGACCUAACUUCCUAUCUAGCUCUGGAUGAUGGAUUUUCCUUGACCUGAUGUCAUCUAGCUCGACCUGAUAUUUAAUCGAAUUACACAAAUUAAAAGCCUAAUGAGAAUCACCACCUAUUCACAAUGCACAUCCUUCUUUUGUCUUGUAUCUCAUGGUACCAAAUAGUCCAAAGAUAUUGGAUCCAUGUGAACCCUCUAAUUGUUCUUAGAUCUAUUUAUCUACAGUUUUCAUGAACAGAAACACUAAGCACAUUGCUGAAAAGUGUUUGUCCAUCAAGUCAUUUCUCUCCACUAGACAGAUUGGACCAUGAUAGGCCUGAAAAAUAAGUGGCUGACUCAAGUGACUGGGUUAUGGCUGAAAUAAAAUAGGCUUUCAUGAAGCAGUCAGCUCGGCAUAUUUUCAGCAAGAACUGCUACAGAUUUGCAAAUUUGUAAGUAACUGAAAACAUGGAUCUUAUACUGUCCUUUAAUGAAUGCAAACUUUUUUUUUAAUAGCAACAGGCUUAUUAACCUUGAUGUUCUACUCUACGAUUUACCAAAUUAUAUGUAGUUUACCAGAGUUUAGUUUCAUGUUCUCUGUGGAAUAUCAUGUUUAAAUUAGGUGAACUCCUACGAUGGAACUGGAUAUACUCUAUGGUUUAACCUUAUAUAUAUAUAUAUAUAUAUAUAAAUGUUCAGAUUGCAAAAUCUGAUAUGAAAAUGCUAUUAUAGGUUCAGGAUGAUUAUCAGUGUUCUUUCAAAGCAUUAAAAUGCUAUUUCACUUGUGUUGUUUUUGAAAAUUACGUAUUUUCCAUAUUCUUCUUUUGCUGUAUCUUUUGCAGCUUCCCAACUGUAACACUGCCUUGCCUCUCUUUGUGCUUAGCAAUUUAUUAUUCUGUAUUCUCCUUGAUAUCAGAUGGGACUACUAAUACAGUAGGCACUCAUUCCUGACUGUAGCACAAUUACGUGUUUAGGGAAUCCAAUAUAAAAGGCAAAAAAUUGAAUAAUCUAAGGAUUUAGAUUUUCAUAUUUUAUGUUGAAAAAGUACAAUUUAAUCUUCUACUAUUUUGGCUGAAGACACAUAAAUUAUCUUUGAUUAUUUCCUCUACACAAUUUUCCACAAUAAUUUCUCAGCAGUCACUGAAAAACAAAUCAUUUUAGCACCACUACAAUAUAGAAAAAAAAAACAAUGAAAACCAAGAAAUAUAAAACUGUUCACACCAUCAAAAAAUCUCUAAUGAAAUGAAAACCUUUCAGUAUAUCUCAGAAAAUAAUUCUGUGCACAAAUGCAAAUGUCAGACCUCUGCCCAAAGAGAUUUCCAUUUGGUUUCCGUUUCCAAAAUAUAAAUAUUUUAUCUUCCAAGAAAGAAACGUUAAUGUUUUAGAUAAAAAACUGUAUAGUCAUUGCAAGUGUCAAUAAAUACGCUGAAACACUGUCUUAGAAAUACUCUUAUUUAGUAUAAGUUCUUCAUUGAAAAAGGAUAUGGGGUUUUGUAUUUGAAAAUAUUCAAAGUUGUUUCAACAGAAGGGUGUAAGAACACUUAUCUUCAUGAUGCUGCAGUUCUGUAAGGAAUAGAAUGUAUAUGGAGAAGCCCAAGGUGUCAACCUUGAUGGGUAAAAAUACUAUUUCUUUUUCCUUUUUUUAUUUUCUGCAAAAAUGUAUAGCACUAUCUGUACUAGUGCACAUCAUCUCAGUGAAUUCUAUUAAAAAUGUUGGCUUUUCCUAAUUCAACAUUGCAUUAUUAAUGUUUCUUUAAUUUUAAGAAACAACAAGUUUGAAACAAGGUGAUAUCAGUGCUGUAAUUCUGCAUAAUAUUAUGUAACUGAAUCCUACUGAGGCAGACCUUGAAAAAGAAAAAAAUGUCCAAUUCUAUUCAAGUAAAUGUGAAAUUUAGGAAUUAAGAUUGAAUCAAUUGAUUUUAGUAGUUUAACAGAGUAAUUAGUGAAGACUGAGCCAAUAAUACAUCUUCAUGAAAUAAAAAAUACCUUUAAAACCUUUUGUAGGGCAUGGAAAGAAUUUGAAUUUUGUUUAUUGUUUCUGUGUUUUGACCACAGGACAUUCUAAAAUGAUUCCAAAAAAUAACAUGGCAUUUUAUGAUUCUUCACUGUUCCUGCCAGUAGAUGGGUUGCUCAGUAUAGCUUAUGUGCUUGUUCCUUACAGCAAAUUCAGAAAAGGCAUUCUGGGAGCCAAAGAGAAGCCAAGACCAAAGUAACUUAAGACUAUUUUGUUAAGUUUCUGUUUUCUCACUUGGCAAUUUUAAUCCAUGCUCUCUCAGUGUCACUUAAGCUGUGUGAUAUCAGGGGAGAAAUCAACCAGAUCACAUAGAAAGCAUUUUAAGGGAAGGAAUAGGAGGGAGGAAACCCCUCUCUUUUUCGCUCAUAAAGCUACCUCUUUAGGAGACACAUAAUAUGAAUGCUGUAAAUUAUGGUUCAUAGUAGUUCUCUCCAUUAUUAGGAAAGAGAGGCAAAAAUCAAAAGGAAGGGCAUAUGAGGCUCAUUAAAAAAAAGCACAGAAAAUGUGGUCCCCCUGACAUGAGCCAAAGUGCCUGUGGGGGAUGUAAUUUGCAUUUACUGUUGCAUAAUCAAAAAAGCCCCAGCAAACAAACACAAGGAAAACAAGUGCACAGUUGGCUUCUGCUUGUCAUGUUCAGCCACUGGCUGCUUAAUUACUGACCAGCAACAGCAACGUGUUUUUUCCUAACCUGAGAGCGCACAGACGUCACUGGCUGUGCCGUGGCAUUUUGUGACACACACAGCCUGUCAUUAGGGACAAGGUUCAUUCUGUGUUCCCUACACCUUGCAGAGGCUUCUGGCAGCAGCCAGCAGGGAGGUUGCUGUGUGCAAUGGACAAUACAGGGAAUAUGCAAAGGUUUACAAACAGUUUAAUACCUUUUCAGUCAAAAUACCAAAAACUCGUCCCUGCACAAAUGGCACAAACUGAAUUUAGAGCAAGAAAAUUUAACUCUGCCUGUAUUCUCUCGUCC